CCGUACACAAAAAUGCACAUGCUGUGAGCUCGAUGAGUAGGGCGGGACACGUGGUAUCCUGUCUGAAUAUGGGGGGACCAUCCUCCAAGGCUAAAUACUCCUGACUGACCGAUAGUGAACCAGUACCGUGAGGGAAAGGCGAAAAGAACCCCGGCGAGGGGAGUGAAAAAGAACCUGAAACCGUGUACGUACAAGCAGUGGGAGCACGCUUAGGCGUGUGACUGCGUACCUUUUGUAUAAUGGGUCAGCGACUUAUAUUCUGUAGCAAGGUUAACCGAAUAGGGGAGCCGAAGGGAAACCGAGUCUUAACUGGGCGUUAAGUUGCAGGGUAUAGACCCGAAACCCGGUGAUCUAGCCAUGGGCAGGUUGAAGGUUGGGUAACACUAACUGGAGGACCGAACCGACUAAUGUUGAAAAAUUAGCGGAUGACUUGUGGCUGGGGGUGAAAGGCCAAUCAAACCGGGAGAUAGCUGGUUCUCCCCGAAAGCUAUUUAGGUAGCGCCUCGUGAAUUCAUCUCCGGGGGUAGAGCACUGUUUCGGCAAGGGGGUCAUCCCGACUUACCAACCCGAUGCAAACUGCGAAUACCGGAGAAUGUUAUCACGGGAGACACACGGCGGGUGCUAACGUCCGUCGUGAAGAGGGAAACAACCCAGACCGCCAGCUAAGGUCCCAAAGUCAUGGUUAAGUGGGAAACGAUGUGGGAAGGCCCAGACAGCCAGGAUGUUGGCUUAGAAGCAGCCAUCAUUUAAAGAAAGCGUAAUAGCUCACUGGUCGAGUCGGCCUGCGCGGAAGAUGUAACGGGGCUAAACCAUGCACCGAAGCUGCGGCAGCGACGCUGAUGCGUUGUUGGGUAGGGGAGCGUUCUGUAAGCCUGUGAAGGUGUGCUGUGAGGCAUGCUGGAGGUAUCAGAAGUGCGAAUGCUGACAUAAGUAACGAUAAAGCGGGUGAAAAGCCCGCUCGCCGGAAGACCAAGGGUUCCUGUCCAACGUUAAUCGGGGCAGGGUGAGUCGACCCCUAAGGCGAGGCCGAAAGGCGUAGUCGAUGGGAAACAGGUUAAUAUUCCUGUACUUGGUGUUACUGCGAAGGGGGGACGGAGAAGGCUAUGUUGGCCGGGCGACGGUUGUCCCGGUUUAAGCGUGUAGGCUGGUUUUCCAGGCAAAUCCGGAAAAUCAAGGCUGAGGCGUGAUGACGAGGCACUACGGUGCUGAAGCAACAAAUGCCCUGCUUCCAGGAAAAGCCUCUAAGCAUCAGGUAACAUCAAAUCGUACCCCAAACCGACACAGGUGGUCAGGUAGAGAAUACCAAGGCGCUUGAGAGAACUCGGGUGAAGGAACUAGGCAAAAUGGUGCCGUAACUUCGGGAGAAGG
rnacentral:rRNA from 1 species